AUGGGAAAGGAAAAGACUCACAUUAAUAUUGUCAUCAUUGGACACGUGGACUCUGGCAAAUCCACCACCACUGGCCAUCUGAUCUACAAAUGUAGUAGCAUCGACAAAAGAACCAUUGAAAAAUUUGAGAAGGAGGCUGCUGAGGUGGGGAAGGGUUCCUUCAAGCAUGCCUGGGUGUUGGACAAGCUGAAAGCCAAGUGUGAGCGUGGUGUCACCAUUGACAUCUCCCUGUGGAAAUUUGAGACCAGCAAGUACUAUGUGACCAUCACUGAUGCCCCUGGACACAGAGACUUCAUCAAAAACAUGACUAUAGGCACAUCUCAGGCUGACUGUGCUCUCCUGAUUGUUGCUGCUGGUGUUGGUGAAUUCGAAGCUGGUAUCUCUAAGAACGGGCAGACCCAUGAGCAUGUCCUUCUGGCUUACACGCUGGGUGUGAAACAACUAAUUGUUGGUGUUAACAAAAUGGAUUCCACAGAGCCACCCUACAGCCAGAAGAGAUACGAGGAAAUUGUUAAGGAAGUCAGCACCUACAUUAAGAAAACUGGCUACAACCCUGACACUGCAGCUUUUGUGCCAAUUUCUGGUUGGAAUGGUGACAGCAUGCUGGAGCCAAGUGCUAACACGCCUUGGUUCAAAGGAUGGAAGGUCACUUGUAAAGAUGGCAAUGCCAGUGGAUCCAUAUUGCUUGAAACUUUGGAUUGCAUCCUCCUACCCACUUACCCAACUGACAAGCCUUUGUGGCUGCCCCUCCAGAAUGUCUACAAAAUCAGUGGUAUUGAUGCAGUCCCUGUGGGCUCAGUGGAGACUAGUGUUCUCAAACCUGGCACGGUGGUCACCUUUGCCCCAGUCAGUGUCACAGCUGAAGUCAAGUCUGUCGAAAUGCACUAUGAAGUUUUGAGUGAAGCCCUUCCUGGGGACAAUGUGGGCUUCACUGUCAAGUAUGUGUCUGUUAAAGAUGUCUAGUGUGGCAAUGUGGCCGGUGACAGCAAAAAUGACCCACCAAAGGAAGCAGCUGGUUUCACUGCUCAGGUGAUUAUCUUGAACCAUCCUGGCCAGAUCAGUACUGGCUACUUUCCUGUCCUGGAUUGUCACACAGCUCACAUUGCUUGCAAGUUUGCUGAGCUGAAAGAAAAGAUUGAUCGCUGGUCUGGUAAGAAGCUGGAAGAUGGGCCCAAGUUUUUGAAAUCUGGUGAUCCUGCCAUUGUUGACAUGGUUCCAUGUGUGUCGAGAACUUCUCUGACUACCCACUUCUGGGUCAUUUCACUGUUCAUGAUGUGAGACAGACAGUUGUUGGGGGUGUCAUCAAAGCUGUGGACAAGAAGGCUGCUGGAGCUGGCAAGGUCACAAGUCUGCCCAGAAAGCUCAGAAGGCUAAAUGA